GGUUAAGCGACUAAGCGUACACGGUGGAUGCCCUGGCAGUCAGAGGCGAUGAAGGACGUGCUAAUCUGCGAUAAGCGUCGGUAAGGUGAUAUGAACCGUUAUAACCGGCGAUUUCCGAAUGGGGAAACCCAGUGUGUUUCGACACACUAUCAUUAACUGAAUCCAUAGGUUAAUGAGGCGAACCGGGGGAACUGAAACAUCUAAGUACCCCGAGGAAAAGAAAUCAACCGAGAUUCCCCCAGUAGCGGCGAGCGAACGGGGAGGAGCCCAGAGCCUGAAUCAGUGUGUGUGUUAGUGGAAGCGUCUGGAAAGGCGCGCGAUACAGGGUGACAGCCCCGUACACAAAAAUGCACAUACUGUGAGCUCGAUGAGUAGGGCGGGACACGUGGUAUCCUGUCUGAAUAUGGGGGGACCAUCCUCCAAGGCUAAAUACUCCUGACUGACCGAUAGUGAACCAGUACCGUGAGGGAAAGGCGAAAAGAACCCCGGCGAGGGGAGUGAAAAAGAACCUGAAACCGUGUACGUACAAGCAGUGGGAGCCUCUUUAUGGGGUGACUGCGUACCUUUUGUAUAAUGGGUCAGCGACUUAUAUUCUGUAGCAAGGUUAACCGAAUAGGGGAGCCGAAGGGAAACCGAGUCUUAACUGGGCGUUAAGUUGCAGGGUAUAGACCCGAAACCCGGUGAUCUAGCCAUGGGCAGGUUGAAGGUUGGGUAACACUAACUGGAGGACCGAACCGACUAAUGUUGAAAAAUUAGCGGAUGACUUGUGGCUGGGGGUGAAAGGCCAAUCAAACCGGGAGAUAGCUGGUUCUCCCCGAAAGCUAUUUAGGUAGCGCCUCGUGAAUUCAUCUCCGGGGGUAGAGCACUGUUUCGGCAAGGGGGUCAUCCCGACUUACCAACCCGAUGCAAACUGCGAAUACCGGAGAAUGUUAUCACGGGAGACACACGGCGGGUGCUAACGUCCGUCGUGAAGAGGGAAACAACCCAGACCGCCAGCUAAGGUCCCAAAGUCAUGGUUAAGUGGGAAACGAUGUGGGAAGGCCCAGACAGCCAGGAUGUUGGCUUAGAAGCAGCCAUCAUUUAAAGAAAGCGUAAUAGCUCACUGGUCGAGUCGGCCUGCGCGGAAGAUGUAACGGGGCUAAACCAUGCACCGAAGCUGCGGCAGCGACGCUUAUGCGUUGUUGGGUAGGGGAGCGUUCUGUAAGCCUGCGAAGGUGUGCUGUGAGGCAUGCUGGAGGUAUCAGAAGUGCGAAUGCUGACAUAAGUAACGAUAAAGCGGGUGAAAAGCCCGCUCGCCGGAAGACCAAGGGUUCCUGUCCAACGUUAAUCGGGGCAGGGUGAGUCGACCCCUAAGGCGAGGCCGAAAGGCGUAGUCGAUGGGAAACAGGUUAAUAUUCCUGUACUUGGUGUUACUGCGAAGGGGGGACGGAGAAGGCUAUGUUGGCCGGGCGACGGUUGUCCCGGUUUAAGCGUGUAGGCUGGUUUUCCAGGCAAAUCCGGAAAAUCAAGGCUGAGGCGUGAUGACGAGGCACUACGGUGCUGAAGCAACAAAUGCCCUGCUUCCAGGAAAAGCCUCUAAGCAUCAGGUAACAUCAAAUCGUACCCCAAACCGACACAGGUGGUCAGGUAGAGAAUACCAAGGCGCUUGAGAGAACUCGGGUGAAGGAACUAGGCAAAAUGGUGCCGUAACUUCGGGAGAAGGCACGCUGAUAUGUAGGUGAAGCGACUUGCUCGUGGAGCUGAAAUCAGUCGAAGAUACCAGCUGGCUGCAACUGUUUAUUAAAAACACAGCACUGUGCAAACACGAAAGUGGACGUAUACGGUGUGACGCCUGCCCGGUGCCGGAAGGUUAAUUGAUGGGGUUAGCGGUAACGCGAAGCUCUUGAUCGAAGCCCCGGUAAACGGCGGCCGUAACUAUAACGGUCCUAAGGUAGCGAAAUUCCUUGUCGGGUAAGUUCCGACCUGCACGAAUGGCGUAAUGAUGGCCAGGCUGUCUCCACCCGAGACUCAGUGAAAUUGAACUCGCUGUGAAGAUGCAGUGUACCCGCGGCAAGACGGAAAGACCCCGUGAACCUUUACUAUAGCUUGACACUGAACAUUGAGCCUUGAUGUGUAGGAUAGGUGGGAGGCUUUGAAGUGUGGACGCCAGUCUGCAUGGAGCCGGCCUUGAAAUACCACCCUUUAAUGUUUGAUGUUCUAACGUUGGCCCCUGAUCGGGGUUGCGGACAGUGUCUGGUGGGUAGUUUGACUGGGGCGGUCUCCUCCUAAAGAGUAACGGAGGAGCACGAAGGUUGGCUAAUCCUGGUCGGACAUCAGGAGGUUAGUGCAAUGGCAUAAGCCAGCUUGACUGCGAGCGUGACGGCGCGAGCAGGUGCGAAAGCAGGUCAUAGUGAUCCGGUGGUUCUGAAUGGAAGGGCCAUCGCUCAACGGAUAAAAGGUACUCCGGGGAUAACAGGCUGAUACCGCCCAAGAGUUCAUAUCGACGGCGGUGUUUGGCACCUCGAUGUCGGCUCAUCACAUCCUGGGGCUGAAGUAGGUCCCAAGGGUAUGGCUGUUCGCCAUUUAAAGUGGUACGCGAGCUGGGUUUAGAACGUCGUGAGACAGUUCGGUCCCUAUCUGCCGUGGGCGCUGGAGAACUGAGGGGGGCUGCUCCUAGUACGAGAGGACCGGAGUGGACGCAUCACUGGUGUUCGGGUUGUCAUGCCAAUGGCACUGCCCGGUAGCUAAAUGCGGAAGAGAUAAGUGCUGAAAGCAUCUAAGCACGAAACUUGCCCCGAGAUGAGUUCUCCCUGAGACUUUAAGUCUCCUGAAGGAACGUUGAAGACGACGACGUUGAUAGGCCGGGUGUGUAAGCGCAGCGAUGCGUUGAGCUAACCGGUACUAAUGAACCGUGAGGCUUAACCUU
rnacentral:rRNA from 1 species